rnacentral:rRNA from 1 species
UUAGGUUUGAUCCUGCUCAGGGUGAACGUGGGCGGCGUGCCUAAUACAUGCAAGUCGAACGAAGACUGUAGUAAUACUGUCUUAGUGGCGAACGGGUGAGUAACGCGUGGGUGACCUGCCCCGAAGUGUGGGAUAACAGUCCGAAAGGAUUGCUAAUACUGCGUAAUAUCCAAGAGAUUAGACGCUUUUGGAUUAAAGGAGUAAUUCGCUUCGGGAGGGGCCCGCGUCCCAUCAGCUAGUUGGUAAGGUAAUGGCUUACCAAGGCGAUGACGGGUAGGGGACCUGAGAGGGUGGCCCCCCACAAUGGAACUGAAACACGGUCCAUACACCUACGGGUGGCAGCAGUAGGGAAUAUUAGUAAUGGGCGAAAGCCUGAACUAGCAACGCCGCGUGUGCGAAGAAGGCCUUCGGGUCGUAAAGCACUUUUUGAGAGGAUGAGGAAGGACGGUACUCUCAGAAUAAGUCUCGGCUAACUACGUGCCAGCAGCCGCGGUAACACGUAGGAGGCAAACGUUAUCCGGAUUUACUGGGCGUAAAGCGCGUGUAGGUGGUUUGGUAUGUAGGGCGUGAAAGCUCCUGGCUCAACUGGGAGAGGACGUUCUAAACUGCCAAGCUUGAGGAUGGUAGAGGGAGGUGGAAUUCCGGGUGUAGCGGUGGAAUGCGCAGAUAUCCGGAGGAACACCAGUGGCGAAGGCGGCCUCCUGGACCACUCCUGACACUCAGACGCGAAAGCUAGGGUAGCAAACGGGAUUAGAGACCCCGGUAGUCCUAGCCCUAAACGAUGUAGACUUGGCGUCGGUGGUUUAAUCGCCGUCGGUGUCGUAGCUAACGCGAUAAGUCUACCGCCUGGGGA